UACGGAGGGUGCAAGCGUUAAUCGGAAUUACUGGGCGUAAAGCGUGCGCAGGCGGUUUGUUAAGUCCGUUGUGAAAGCCCCGAGCUCAACUUGGGAAUUGCAGUGGAUACUGGCAGGCUGGAGUACGGUAGAGGAAGGUGGAAUUCCCGGUGUAGCAGUGAAAUGCGUAGAUAUCGGGAGGAACACCAGUGGCGAAGGCGGCCUUCUGGACCAGUACGUGACGCUCAUGCACGAAAGCGUGGGGAGCAAACAGG
rnacentral:rRNA from 1 species